CAUUCCACCUCCCAGCCCUCCUGAUCCAAUGCCCAUGGCGAUAGGGGGGGCUGCAGCCAGGAAGACUGGAGGGGGACCCUUCUCCUGCACCCACUGUGGUCGCAGAGGGCACACUGCCGGAGGAGCUCGCCCGGGAGUCCAGAGGGCAGGCAGAGCACUCCUUCGACAUCUCAGAAUAAAUGUUUCAUGUCGAAUGAGAGAUCCAUUUCUGUCAGUCUCCUAUUUGCCUGAGGGGGCCUGCAAGGCAUAAGUAGAAAGAACUUUCAUUCCAUGUUUAUCAUCUCAAGUAUUCGGGCCAACAACCUACAUUGAUGACAGGGCUGUUGCCAUUGAUGACAGGAACUGUGAUGGUUACGAGCCACAAACAUGCCUCAUUUUCCUUUUCCCACGCCUGGAAUGGCCCCACGUUGACAUCCCCGUGCAAGUGACUGAUUGAAGCUCCCACACACGGCAUUGUGUUUCUCCAUCUCUUUUCUGGGAAGCUGUUCUUGGAAACACUCUUUUCCGAGGUGAUAAUGUGGAGGCGCCCAGGUGGAGGAAAAGGAAGUAAUCAGCCAUUCACUAUCACAGCCGAGUUCAUGAAGUGAAGUCCGGCGGGCUUAGAUCAUGUGCUAACAACACGGAGCUUUUUGGACAUAAAUGAUGAGCUUUUUUGAACAAAACUACAUUCGUUAUGGACCUGGGAUUCCUGGAAGUGACAUCUGAUGAAGAGAAUCAAAGGGAUUCCUGAGAAAACCAGCAAACCAGGCUGUCGUCUUGGGAAACAGUGGAUGUAAAGAAUCUAGCUAAAGCAUAUACUGCAAAUUGAAUGUACAGUUACGUAAGCUUGCCUUGCCGUGCAAUGCUGCUGAAGUAACAUAGCUAGCUAACUAUUUACUUGCUUAUUGUGUAGUGGAGGAUAAAAAUAACUGUAUGCCUAUGUAUGUGUAGCUAGCUACAGUAUGUUGCCGAUCUGUGUAUGGACCCUAAAAUGUUCUGAACUAAUAUUCAUACCAAUCUAUGAACCUCAGCUAUCAUAGUUGUCGUAUCAACUUCAAGUCUGAAUGGCAUUAAUGGAUUGAGUAGAAUAUAAUAACUUUAUUGUGCCAAGGAUACAAGUCCUAUAUACAUGUACUGUAGUUAUUACCACGCAUGAGAUCCCCCACAUUGUAGCCUGCACAUUGAAUAUAUUCACUG
rnacentral:lncRNA from 1 species